AAUUCAACGGUUUAUCACUACCCAUUACAUGCUAACCCAUAAUACCCAUUAAACGACGAUAAACCCCCUUACCUGAGUUAAUCCGGCGAAUCUUUAGGCUCCAAGCUCUUCUCUUCUUCAACCCUCUUCCUCUUGCUCUGCCUCUUGCCCUUUUCCUCUUUCAGUCGCUUCUCUGAGUUUCACGUGAAAACCUUAUUUUCCAAAAUGAAC
rnacentral:lncRNA from 1 species